rnacentral:rRNA from 1 species
UGGGGAAUCUUCCGCAAUGGACGAAAGUCUGACGGAGCAACGCCGCGUGUAUGACGAAGGCCUUCGGGUUGUAAAGUACUGUCUUUGGGGACGAACGGUAUCUAUGUAAAUAAUGCAGAUACAUGACGGUACCCAAGGAGGAAGCCCCGGCUAACUACGUGCCAGCAGCCGCGGUAAUACGUAGGGGGCGAGCGUUGUCCGGAAUCAUUGGGGCGUAAAGGGGCGCGUAGGCGGGUCAUUAAGUCUGGUGUGAAAGGGCAGGGGCUCAACCCCUGGAAGGCACCGGAACUGGUUAUCUUGAGGGACAGGGAGAGGAAAAGCGGAAAUUCCCACGUGUAGCGGUGAAAUGCGUAGAUAUGUGGAGGAACACCAGUGGCGAAGGCGGCUUUCUGGACUGUAACUG